GUGAGGAAUAUUGGUCAAUGGACGGAAGUCUGAACCAGCCAUGCCGCGUGCAGGAAUAAGGUCCUAUGGAUUGUAAACUGCUUUUAUUCGGGAAUAAACCUCUUUACGUGUAGGGAGCUGAAGGUACCGAAGGAAUAAGCACCGGCUAACUCCGUGCCAGCAGCCGCGGUAAUACGGAGGGUGCAAGCGUUAUCCGGAAUCAUUGGGUUUAAAGGGUCCGCAGGCGGGCUAUCAAGUCAGAGGUGAAAUCCCACAGCUUAACUGUGGAACUGCCUUUGAAACUGAUGGUCUUGAAUUAAGUGGGCGUUGGCGGAAUAUGACAUGUAGCGGUGAAAUGCAUAGAUAUGUCAUGGAACACCGAAAGCGAAGGCAGCUAACGAUACUUAUAUUGACGUUCAUGGACGAAAGCGUGGGUAGCGAACAGGAUUAGAAACCCCAGUAGUCC
rnacentral:rRNA from 1 species